CAGCAGCCGCGGUAAAACGAAGGGUGCAAGCGUUAAUCGGAAUUACUGGGCGUAAAGCGUGCGUAGGCGGUGAGUUAAGUCUGCUGUGAAAUCCCCGAGCUUAACUUGGGAACUGCAUUUGAAACUGGCAAGCUAGAGUCUUGUAGAGGGGGGUAGAAUUCCAGGUGUAGCGGCGAAAUGCGUAGAGAUCUGGAGGAAUACCGGUGGCGAAGGCGGCCCCCUGGACAAAGACUGACGCUCAGGUGCGAAAGCGUGGGGAGCAAACAGGAUUAGAUACCCCGGUAGUCCCUGUCUCUUAUAC
rnacentral:rRNA from 1 species